AUACUUACCUGGCUGGAUUCACCUCUGAUCAACAAGGGAGGGGAAUCUGGGAGGAGUGUCUGCAUUGCACAGCGCGGAUGUUCUUCCCAGUGAAUGUCCUUCGGGACAUCUCAACAGCUUAAUUUUUACAUCGGGUCUCGUGUCUCUUCGGGGAUGUGGGAC
rnacentral:snRNA from 1 species